rnacentral:lncRNA from 1 species
UCAAUGUCAGCUUCCUUCAUCUAAAGUAAGGAAAAUUUGUCUAUAUUUAAGCGAACAUUAGAGAAAAGUUGUUCUGAACUUUUAAAGCAAAUUUAAAAUGAUUUAAAAUUAUUAACAUUUUUUAGGGAAUGAAAUUAUCAACAUUUGUUGGAGGAUAGAACUUGGUAGGAACUUUAGCCCAACAUAUUAAAGAUAUGGAUGGACCCAUAAGACUAAGUCCAGGUAGAGAAACAUUAUUAUAGUCAAUCUUAGUUGAGAAUUUAAU